rnacentral:snRNA from 1 species
AUACUUACCUGGCAGGGGAGAUACCAUGAUCACGCAGGUGGUUUUCCCAGGGCGAGACUUAUCCAUUGCACUCUGUUGUGCUGACCCCUGUGAUUUCCCCAAAUGUGGGAAACUCGACUGCCUAAUUUGUGGUAGUGGGGGACUGCAUUCGCACUUUCCCCUG